GUCCCAGACUCCUACGGGAGGCAGCAGUGGGGAAUAUUGCACAAUGGGGGAAACCCUGAUGCAGCGACGCCGCGUGAGCGAUGAAGUAUUUCGGUAUGUAAAGCUCUAUCAGCAGGGAAGAAAAUGACGGUACCUGAGUAAGAAGCCCCGGCUAACUACGUGCCAGCAGCCGCGGUAAUACGUAGGGGGCAAGCGUUAUCCGGAUUUACUGGGUGUAAAGGGAGCGUAGACGGCGAUACAAGUCUGAAGUGAAAGCCCGGGGCUCAACCCCGGGACUGCUUUGGAAACUGUGUUGCUGGAGUGCUGGAGGGGCAAGCGGAAUUUCCAGUGUAGCGGUGAAAUGCGUAGAUAUUAGGAGGAACACCAGUGGCGAAGGCGGCCUGCUGGACAGUAACUGACGUUGAGGCUCGAAAGCGUGGGGAGCAAACAGGAUUAGAUACCCCGGUACA
rnacentral:rRNA from 1 species